rnacentral:rRNA from 1 species
AACGAACGCUGGCGGCAUGCCUAACACAUGCAAGUCGAACGAGACCUUCGGGUCUAGUGGCGCACGGGUGCGUAACGCGUGGGAACCUGCCCUUAGGUUCGGAAUAACUCCCCGAAAGGGGUGCUAAUACCGGAUAAUGUCUUCGGACCAAAGAUUUAUCGCCUUUGGAUGGGCCCGCGUUGGAUUAGCUAGUUGGUAGGGUAAAAGCCUACCAAGGCGACGAUCCAUAGCUGGUCUGAGAGGAUGCUCAGCCACACUGGGACUGAGACACGGCCCAGACUCCUACGGGAGGCAGCAGUGGGUAAUAUUGGACAAUGGGCGAAAGCCUGAUCCAGCAAUGCCGCGUGAGUGAUGAAGGCCUUAGGGUUGUAAAGCUCUUUUACCCGGGAUGAUAAUGACAGUACCGGGAGAAUAAGCUCCGGCUAACUCCGUG